GUAGGUACACAUGUAAUUGGAUGGUUGGGUAGGUACACAUGUGGUUGGAUGGUUGGGUGGGUACACAUGUAAUUGGAUGGUUGGGUAGGUACACAUGUAAUUGGAUGGUUGGAUGGUUGGGUAGGUACACAUGUAAUUGGAUGGUUGGAUGGAUGGGUAGGUACACAUGUGGUUGGAUGGAUGGGUAGGUACACAUGUAAUUGGAUGGUUGGAUGGAUGGGUAGGUACACAUGUAAUUGGAUGGUUGGGUAGGUACACAUGUAAUUGGAUGGUUGGAUGGAUGGGUAGGUACACAUGUAAUUGGAUGGUUGGAUGGAUGGGUAGGUACACAUGUAAUUGGAUGGUUGGAUGGAUGGGUAGGUACACAUGUAAUUGGAUGGUUGGAUGGAUGGGUAGGUACACAUGUGGUUGGAUGGUUGGGUAGGUACACAUGUAAUUGGAUGGUUGGAUGGAUGGGUAGGUACACAUGUAAUUGGAUGGUUGGGUAGGUACACAUGUAAUUGGAUGGUUGGAUGGAUGGGUAGGUACACAUGUGGUUGGAUGGUUGGGUAGGUACACAUGUAAUUGGAUGGUUGGAUGGAUGGGUAGGUACACAUGUGGUUGGAUGGUUGGGUAGGUACACAUGUAAUUGGAUGGUUGGAUGGAUGGGUAUAAUGUCAAAGUGCCUAUAGGAUUGAGUGGAUGGAUGGGUAGGUACACAUGUGGUUGGAUGCCUAUAGGAUUGAGUGGGUGGAUGGGUAGGUACACAUGUGGUUGGAUGCCUAUAGGAUUGAGUGGAUGGAUGGGUAGGUACACAUGUGGUUGGAUGCCUAUAGGAUUGAGUGGGUGGAUGGGUAUACUGUCAAAGUGCCUAUAGGAUUGAGUGGAUUGCUGGGUAUAAUGUCAGAGUGCCUAUAGGAUUGAGUGGAUGGCUGGGUAUAAUGUCAAAGUGCCUAUAGGAUUGAGUGGAUGGCUGGGUAUAAUGUCAAAGUGCCUAUAGGAUUGAGUGGAUGGCUGUGACUGAUUUAUUGAUCAGAUAAUCUAACACAUUUCUAUAUAUGUAUGUGUACUCUUGUCAAAUAUGUUUAAGAAUUUCAGAAAUAAAUAUUUUUUAUUAUUU